AUCGCUUCUCGGCCUUUUGGCUAAGAUCAAGUGUAGUAUCUGUUCUUAUCAGUUUAAUAGAAUACUGGCCCUCAAACUUGGUGGCACAUUGGGAUCACCCUGGAGAGUGCUACAAAGUAGUGGUGCCAGAGACCCAUCUCCUGAUACUUGGAUCUCAUUGGUUUGGGGUCUAGGUAAUUCUAUGAACCGCAGUGUUUAAGAACCACU
rnacentral:snRNA from 1 species